rfam:Crinipellis perniciosa mitochondrion, complete genome.
AAGAGUGUAAUAUAAUUGGUCAGUAUGUUGAUCUCCAAAAUCAAUCGUAGGUGUUCGAGUCACCUCAUUCUUG